rnacentral:rRNA from 1 species
UACGUAGGGGGCAAGCGUUAUCCGGAUUUAUUGGGCGUAAAGAGCGCGUAGGCGGUCCGGCAAGUCGGCAUGUGAAAGUCAAAGGGCUCAACCCUUGAAAGCCGGCCGAUACUGCCGGACUAGAGUGCGGAAGAGGCGAGUGGAAUUCCUGGUGUAGCGGUGAAAUGCGCAGAUAUCAGGAGGAACACCAAUGGCGAAGGCAGCUCGCUGGGACGUGACUGACGCUGAGACGCGAAAGCGUGGGGAGCAAACAGG